AUUGAACGCUGGCGGCAUGCCUAACACAUGCAAGUCGAACGGGGUGUAGCAAUACACCUAGUGGCGGACGGGUGAGGAAUACAUAGGAAUCUGCCUCAGAGUGGGGGAUAACCCGGGGAAACCCGGACUAAUACCGCAUGAUCUCGCAAGAGCAAAGCAGGGGACCGCAAGGCCUUGUGCUCUGAGAGGAGCCUAUGUCUGAUUAGCUAGUUGGCGGGGUAAUGGCCCCACCAAGGCAACGAUCAGUAACUGGUCUGAGAGGACGAUCAGUCACACGGGAACUGAGACACGGUCCGGACUCCUACGGGAGGCAGCAGUGGGGAAUAUUGGACAAUGGGCGAAAGCCUGAUCCAGCAAUGCCGCGUGUGUGAAGAAGGCCUCGGGUUGUAAAGCACUUUAGUCAGGGAAGAAAAAUGCUCAAGCUAAUAUCUUGAGUGUUGACGGUACCUGAAGAAUAAGCACCGGCUAACUCUGUGCCAGCAGCCGCGGUAAUACAGAGGGUGCGAGCGUUAAUCGGAUUUACUGGGCGUAAACGCGUGCGUAGGUGGCUGUUCAAGUCGGUUGUGAAAUCCCCGGGGUCUCAACCUGGGGAAUUGCUUCCGAGACUGAGCGGCUAGAGUACGGUAGAGGGCGGUGGAAUUUCCCGGUGUAGCGGUGAAAUGCGUAGAUAUCGGAAGGAACACCAAUGGCGAA
rnacentral:rRNA from 1 species